AUUGAACGCUGGCGGCAUGCCUUACACAUGCAAGUCGAACGGCAGCACGGGAGCAAUCCUGGUGGCGAGUGGCGAACGGGUGAGUAAUAUAUCGGAACGUGCCCAGUCGUGGGGGAUAACGCAGCGAAAGCUGUGCUAAUACCGCAUACGAUCUAAGGAUGAAAGCGGGGGAUCGCAAGACCUCGCGCGAUUGGAGCGGCCGAUAUCAGGUUAGCUAGUUGGUGGGGUAAAGGCCCACCAAGGCGACGAUCUGUAUCUGGUCUGAGAGGACGACCAGCCACACUGGAACUGAGACACGGUCCAGACUCCUACGGGAGGCAGCAGUGGGGAAUUUUGGACAAUGGGCGCAGGCCUGAUCCAGCAAUGCCGCGUGCAGGAUGAAGGCCUUCGGGUUGUAAACUGCUUUUGUACGGAACGAAACGGUCCUUUCUAAUACAGGGGGCUAAUGACGGUACCGUAAGAAUAAGCACCGGCUAACUACGUGCCAGCAGCCGCAGUAAAAC
rnacentral:rRNA from 1 species